AUUCAGAUAGGGCAAGUUUAAAUGCCAGCAACUGCCUGCCUCUCUCCUUCCCUGCUUUCCCUCCCAAAGAAAUUCAAAGGGUGAGCAUUCUGUGAGUUCAGUGGGCUUUUUCCUGAGCAAGUCCCUUUAAGGAAAGCGGGCAGGAUGGGGUUGUUUUUUAGUCCGUAUUUCAAAUCCAAUCAACAUUUUAAUACUGGCAACCUUUUAAAAAUACUUGUCAAGGAAUUGUUCCUAGGAAGAAAAGGCUACAGAUGAGUGCGGUGUUUAAGUUUUCAGAGACUUAAGCCCUAUUGACUUAAAUGGGGUUUACUCCCAGGUAAGUGUGGUUAGGAUAGCAGCCUAAAAAAAUAGAUCAAAGGCAGAAUCCAAGAUGUUUACCGUGGGCGCAGCCAUCAUUUUUGUUAGGGGGGAGCAUGCCUUUUGUUGGGGUGGGAAGAACCAUCAGUUAGCUAUGUAUUUUUAUUGAUUUUUUUUAUGAUGGGGGAGCUGCCCCUCCCCUUUGCUACGCCCACGGUUCUUACUCGGAUCCCCUUCGUUUCAAUGGGGCUUGUGCAGGUGAACUUUCCUCUCACUUGUGUUCUGAUUGUGUAGUUCGUUGUGGUUCGAACUGUAUUACAUGCGCGCUCUAGAAAGGAACCCUAUUCCCCCCCACCCCAGUUUCUUAAACUGCCAAAUCCACUCUCUGUCUGAACUCUAUAUAAAAACACUUUUCCCUGGCUCCCUCUCCCUCCGCUUUCAACUUUAGGAUCCGAAAAUAGCGUGCUGUUUUUCAAAGUCAACGGCAUUUUUAGUGUCUCCCCCUGGUGCGUUUGCCCUCCGCUUUGUAAAGUCCUGCAGGACAGAUCCGUUUUAACACACCACGCACAGGAAAGAAUUUGAAUAGUAGUUUUCGGGAAAUGGUGGGGUGUUGUGUUUUGUGGUUUUUUUUUAAUUUGGCUUUUGAAUAGAGUCCUUUUGUCGCGUUUGUUCCCUAGCAACGCUUUCCUAUUAAGGCGGGAGAGAGCGAGUAAGUCAGCGCCCGCGCCUAUGUGAGGCCCAACAAAAUGGCCGCUCUGAGGGCUUUUCCUGGAGCCUCGUUAGCCUUUGACACACACACAGGAAUGAACUAGAACUGCUUGGUGAAUUAGGUAGUUUCACGUUGUUGGGAAUUCGUUUUUAACACACAAGAACAUAAAACUACCUGAUUUACUCCAGUUUAUUCGCCUCGACUUAUUAUUUUUAUUAUUAAUUUUGCUUGCUUGCUCUGUAUGUUGGGGGGGGGGGGAGAUAAUUCUGACGGUUUCCGGUGACAGCCGUUCUAGGCCUACAAAGCGCCGCGCAAAUCGUCCAGGGGGGACGGGGAGGCCGCGAGAGAGGCCUAGCGCCGGAUUUACGGCGCAGCGGGAGGCCGUGCGGCAAAUCUUGGAAGCAAACAAGGCCGCUGCGAAGCUCCACCCCCGGCCUCGCUCUAGAUUUACGCCGGAUGAAGUUGCAAAGCAUUUUACUGUGGUUUGUGAGUGCGCACCAGGGCCUGUUAAUUAAAAAUGUCUCUCGCACGGCAGUGGAUUCGCGGGAGAGAGAGAGGCUAAAAAGGAAGUCUCUGGCAAUUUCCAGCUCAGCCGCAGUCAAGCAGAAGCGCGGAGGACCCUAGAAACUUGUGCGUCGAUGCCAUGAGAGAGGAAGGCGAAUCAAUCUAGCGGGAAGUUCUCCUGCGCAUAGCAGCCAACUCCUACGAGCCGAGGGGACCCCCAAUAAAAUAUUUGAGGGCCCCCCCCAAAAAAGUUGAUGGGCAUUGCCAAUAAAAUAGUGUGCACCAUGUCAUGCGAUCGAUUAUGCUGGUUUACCUGGCCCC